rnacentral:rRNA from 1 species
UACGGAGGGGCUAGCGUUGUUCGGAAUUACUGGGCGUAAAGAGCGCGCAGGCGGCACACCAAGUACGGAGUGAAAUCUCCACGCUCAACGUGGAGGGCCAUUCGAAACUGCCGUGACUCGAGUCCGGUAGGGGAGUGUGGAAUUCCCGGUGUAGCGGUGAAAUGCGCAGAUAUCUGGAGGAACACCGGUGGCGAAGGCGGCAUCCUGGACCGGUAUUGACGCUGAGGCGCGAAAGCCAGGGAGCAAGCGGG